rnacentral:rRNA from 1 species
CGAAGGCUUCGGCCUUAGUGGCGCACGGGUGCGUAACGCGUGGGAAUCUGCCCUCAGGUUCGGAAUAACAGCGAGAAAUUGCUGCUAAUACCGGAUGAUAUCGCGAGAUCAAAGAUUUAUCGCCUGAGGAUGAGCCCGCGUAGGAUUAGCUAGUUGGUGUGGUAAAGGCGCACCAAGGCGACGAUCCUUAGCUGGUCUGAGAGGAUGAUCAGCCACACUGGGACUGAGACACGGCCCAGACUCCUACGGGAGGCAGCAGUGGGGAAUAUUGGACAAUGGGCGAAAGCCUGAUCCAGCAAUGCCGCGUGAGUGAUGAAGGCCUUAGGGUUGUAAAGCUCUUUUACCCGGGAUGAUAAUGACAGUACCGGGAGAAUAAGCUCCGGCUAACUCCGUGCCAGCAGCCGCGGUAAUACGGAG